rnacentral:rRNA from 1 species
AUUGAACGCUGGCGGCAUGCCUUACACAUGCAAGUCGAACGGCAGCGGGCCCUUCGGGGUGCCGGCGAGUGGCGAACGGGUGAGUAAUGCAUCGGAACGUACCCGGGAGAGGGGGAUAACCGGCCGAAAGGCUGGCUAAUACCGCAUGAACUCGGAAGAGCAAAGCGGGGGACCUUCGGGCCUCGCGCUCUCGGAGCGGCCGAUGUCCGAUUAGGCUAGUUGGUGGGGUAAAGGCCCACCAAGGCGACGAUCGGUAGCGGGUCUGAGAGGACGAUCCGCCACACUGGGACUGAGACACGGCCCAGACUCCUACGGGAGGCAGCAGUGGGGAAUCUUGGACAAUGGGCGCAAGCCUGAUCCUGCAAUGCCGCGUGGGUGAAGAAGGCCUUCGGGUUGUAAAGCCCUUUCGGCGGGGAAGAAAUCGGUCAGGCGAAUAGUCUGGCCGGAUGACGGUACCCGCAGAAGAAGCACCGGCUAACUACGUG